rnacentral:lncRNA from 1 species
UUUUCGCAAUUUUUUCGUACUGCCAAUUUCGACCCCUCAGUGAACAUUUCGCGUUUCUCGAAGAUCCGUCUGUCGCAUUUUCGAUCGGAUCGCGCCAGCACGUUCAGCACGACUGGGGAAUCGAUUCUACCAUUUUGAUUCGUCCGAUCUGGUCGCCGAUUUGUGACUAAACCCAUCCACUCUCCAACUUUCCAAAACCACACAUAAAUAUAUGUGUAAAACCCAUAAACUCCCUUUUCUCGAAAACCAUGCAUCAAAUCUGAAAUCCAUCA